AGUAACACGUGAAUCAUCUACCUCCGAGUGGGGAAUACUAAGAAAUCUGGGCUAAUACCGCAUAACACUUACGAGUCAAAGCAGCAAUGCGCUUGGAGAGGAGUUCGCGGGCGAUUAGUUAGUUGGCGGGGUAAUGCCACCAAGACGAUGAUCGGUAUCCGGCCUGAAGGCGCACGGACACACUGGAACUGAAACACGGUCCAGACUCCUACGGGAGGCAAGUGGGGAAUUUUGCGCAAUGGGGGAAACCCUGACGCAGCAACGCCGCGUGGAGGAUGAAAUAUCUUGGUAUGUAAACUCCUUUCGAUGGGGAAGAUUAUGACGGUACCCAUAGAAGAAGCCCCGGCUAACUUCGUGCCAGCAGCCGCGGGUAAUACCGAGGGGGGGCAAGCGUUGUUCGGAA
rnacentral:rRNA from 1 species